UACUCAUAAUCUAACUUUUUCAAAUCAAAAUCACUCCUUCCUUGUUCUGCUCUGCCUAAUCUGAAUUUCAAUUCUGAAAUAGUUGUCUUUGCCAAAAGGACUGUCAAAGACUUGAAGCUCCCUCCUGCAUUCGUUACCCAUAUUGCUUCCUCCAUUCAGAUUUCCCUUGUUUACUUUCCAUUAUCAGUCCCAGUUAGCUGACUUUAGGUCCUGUGAAGGUCGAGAUAUGUAUGCUGGCGAGAAGAUUGUUCCUAUUAAGGACAUGAACAACUUUGGGAGUGAUCCCGAAGAGUUUGCCAAAACCUUCUGCAAAGAUUUAGGUAUUCAAGACCCUGAAGUUGCUGUCCUAUUGCAAUUCGAAGUGUAGCUUCAGCAAGGGAAAGCCGAAUCAGCAAGAAGGGACACCGAACCGAUCACACACCAACCAGGUUAUUUGUAUUUUAACAGUGUAAAAGAUUUGUGAGGAAGUUAGUUAGAAUCUGUCACUAAUACAACAUGAAAUUUUUUGUUGCUUUGUAUCUAAUGAAGUUAUUUGGACAUAAAUUUAGUGUUGUUCGGUAUGUAUUCAUAUAUUACUACACAAGACCAUUGCAGAAUUUAGCCACAGCCACAGAAUUAGUUCCUCAAGUGAUCAUCUUUUUCAACAUAAUUAUUAUGUUUUUUUUCUCUCUCUCCAUUAUCCUAUUAGAAUUUAUCUAUUCUUGCAGAAAUUAUAAUUAGUUCCUCAAGUGAUCAUCUUUUUCAAAAUAAUUAGUUCCUCAAGUGAUCAUCUUUUUCAACAUAAUUAUUAUGUUUUUUUUUACUCUCUAUUCUUGUAGAAAUAAUAGUCUAUCUGACUUCCACAACAUUAAGGAGUGAAUUAAUAUUUUUAUAUGUGAGUAUAUUCAAAACAUCUCAUUAAUAAUUAAUCUGAAAUAUUAAAAAAAGAGUAUAGAGUAGCUUUAUAUAAAAGACAAUAAAGAAAAAGCUCUAUGCUCUUUUCAUGUGGGACAAAAUUGCUUUUUUACAUUUUAAAUUUUGUAUAACAAUAUAUAAAAUGCAAAACAACUUCUUGGUUGAGGAUCAAUUGUUCUUGUUCCAUAUACGAACCAGAACCAGUUGAAGCAAGAGAAGAGAGGAAUGCAUGGUGACUUAGACUUAUUGCUGCUGCAGCUGUAGCCAUGCAUAUUUCUAAAUGUUACACUCUAGUUGAAUUUGCCUCAAAACUAUAUCUGAGCCAGUCCCAGUCCGGUAUAAAUGGUAUAAUGCAUUGUUGAAAAACAUGGAGUUUUAUUCAUGUUUUCUAACCGCACUCAAGAACAAUUUUUAUUUGACCUGGCUACCAAUUCAGUUAUCACCUUAGAUUGUAUAGUGAUAAAACACACUGAACUCAAAACCAGAUUUCAAGGCUUCUGCUCUUCUGAUUAUUUAUAGAUGUACAUGGUCUGUUUUAUUAUUUGUCUGACUCCUCUUUUUAGUGUGAAACUAAUCAAUAGAGUUUUUUGGGUAAAUCUUUAUGAUAUCUACUGUGUGGUUUUUGAAAUGUUGUGUUCAUUAGGUUUGGCAGUUGACACAUAUGAUCAAUCUAAUACUCUACAUUUAAAGUCCUCAAAGAGAUGUGGAAGGUCUUAGCAAAGUUUAGCUCACACUUUGAAUAUUCAGUGUUUAGCAUUUAAACUAGUUUGGGUGAGAAUUGGUUUGAUAUUUUUAUUUGAAAUGAAUCAUUGGAUUCUUACUCCAAAACUGUAAAUUGUAUAGUCUAGAAAGAAAGGGUGUGAAUUGAUUGUGAGUGUGGCCUUUUAGGGGGACCAUCCUUGAUCCAUGGGAUUCAUCUUUUGUCCUGGUGCUGGUAGUUGCUUUCAUAUCCUCUUCAACUUCAAGGACAAAGGACACAACCUUUUUAGAACAUACCUUGGAGUUGGAGCUGAUGAGACUUCUUAUUAGGAUCCCUGCUGCUGGGCUGCUGUGGUUGAUUAUUGAAGAAAGUGCAAGCUUUCUUGAAUGGAGAUGCAAUGGUCUUUUUCCAAGAUGCCAUAUCUAUAUAUAUUUAUAGUCUUCUUCUUCUGAUAUGAAUAAUAGUCCUUACAACACUAAAACUCCACAAACUGAUCUCUCUGCCUUAUAUAUAUAUUGUGUCUGAUGAUGAUGAUGAUGUAUAUUAAUUAAUAUUAUUUAUUAGAAAAAUAAUAAAGAGAGAGAAGCAAGAUCCGUGAGAUGAGCCUUAGAUGAGAUGUUAUGAGAGAGAGAAACAUUACGAGUCCUUUAAUUUCUUAUCUGAUGGAAAGAGAAAGAGAGAGGAGAAGACCAGGCCAGGCCGCCGACUGGAGUGCAGCCAAGCACAUGCACCACGCUCCCAACCAAACACCUCCUCUCUCGCCCCCUCUACACGUGAACUCAUUUUACUUUUCUCACUACUCUCAACUUUAUUAUUAUUUAUUAUUAUUAUUAUUAUUGAGAAAAAUAUCA